GGAGGGGCUCAGAUUCAUCAGGGCCUCAGCAGGACUAUCAACCUCAGAUCAUGCCCUCAUGCACAGUAGUGCCUGUGUGAAGCUGUGUGUGAGGUAACCAGCCCUGCUGCAGUAGAACUGACCCCAUCUACAACACAGCCAAUGCACGGCCAGAGUGGGCUCCCCAUGUGCAGCUGAUAGCAGGUAGAUCACCCGUGUGGGUGCUCUAGGAGGCCGAGCAGUGUCACAAGCUGCUAACUGUUGUGCUUGGAUCCAGCGUGCUGCAUGGGAAAGUAAGAGUUACAGUGGUGACAUUCAUUGAUGCUUGCUGAACAUUUAUGGAGACCAAAUAGUGGAUGUAAGUAGAGUGAGGCUGGGGGUGGUACGUUUCAGUAAUGGCGACAGUGAUGUGAAAGACAAGCCAUGUUCCGGAUGGCCAUGCACAGCUGUCACACCACAAAAUGAAGAGCAUCUUGAUCAGCUCAUCCGUGCUAAUCAGUGGAUUACAACCAGGGAACUGUGUACAGAACUGAAUAUUGGCUUCAAUGUGUUGGAAAUGAUGAUGGCAACAUUGGAAUAUCACAAAGUUUGCGCCAGUUGGCUCCCAUGAAUGCUCACAGGAACAGAAAGAACAUGUAUGCAAGUUUGUCAAGAUCUAUUGAACCAAUAUGAGCUGAAGGGGACAGUUUCGUGGUUCACAUCAUUACCAGUGACAAGAUGUGGUGUUUCCACUGUGAGCCACAAUCAAAACCACAAUCCAUAGAACAGCAACAUCUGAAUUCCCCAUUGAAGAAAAAAUUCAAGAUGCAGCCCAAAGAGGGUAAAGUGAUGUGAACUAUCUUUUGGGAUAGGAAAGAGGUGAUCCUUCUGGAUUUCCUGGAUCCUGAAUAAACCAUCAGCUCUGAUCAGUA